rnacentral:rRNA from 1 species
CCCCUAGAUGUUCUGGGCCGCACGCGCGCUACACUGAACAGUUCACCAAGUCUUAACCUUGGCCGAUAGGUCUGGGUAAUCUUUGAACGCUGUUCGUGAUUGGGAUAGACCUUUGCAAUUAUGGGUCUUCAACGAGGAAUUCCUAGUAAACGCAAGUCAUCAGCUUGCAUUGAUUACGUCCCUGCCCUUUGUACACACCGCCCGUCGCACCUACCGAUUGAAUGGUCCGGUGAAAUCUCGGGACGGCGGCUUGGUCGCUUGCGUCCGACUGCUGAAACUUGAUUAAACCAUAUCAUUUAGAGGAAGGUGAAGUCGUANCA